AUUUAUACUUUUGCCGGCAAGCGGCGAACGGGUGAGUAAUAUCUGGGGAUCUGCCUAAAUGAGGGGGACAACCAUUGGAAACGAUGGCUAAUACCGCAUAAUGUUGAAAAACUAAAGUAGGGGAUUCAUCGUUAAAAGAUGAACCUUGCGCGUUUAGAUGAACCCAGACGAGAUUAGCUUGAUGGUGAGGUAAAGGCUCACCAUGGCGACGAUCUCUAGCUGGUCUGAGAGGAUAACCAGCCACACUGGAACUGAGACACGGUCCAGACUCCUACGGGAGGCAGCAGUGGGGAAUAUUGCACAAUGGGCGAAAGCCUGAUGCAGCUAUGCCGCGUGUAUGAAGAAGGCCUUCGGGUUGUAAAGUACUUUCGUCAGGAAAGAAAGUAGUAAUGCUAAUAUCAUUGCUAAUUGACGUUACCUGAAAAAAGAGCACCGGCUAACUCCGUGCCAGCAGCCGCGGUAAUACGGAGGGUGCAAGCGUUAAUCAGAAUUACUGGGCGUAAAGAGCGCGUAGGCGGUUAUUUAAGUCAGAUGUGAAAUCCCUGGGCUUAACCUAGGAACUGCAUUUGAAACUGGAUAACUAGAGUUUCGUAGAGGGAGGUAGAAUUCUAGGUGUAGCGGUGAAAUGCGUAGAUAUCUGGAGGAAUACCUGUGGCGAAAGCGACCUCCUGGACGAAAACUGACGCUGAGGCGCGAAAGCGUGGGGAGCAAACAGGAUUAGAUACCCUGGUAGUCCAUGCUGUAAACGAUGUCGACUUGGAGGUUGUUUCCAUAGAGAAGUGGCUUCCGAAGCUAACGCGUUAAGUCGACCGCCUGGGGAGUACGGUCGCAAGGCUAAAACUCAAAUGAAUUGACGGGGGCCCGCACAAGCGGUGGAGCAUGUGGUUUAAUUCGAUGCAACGCGAAAAACCUUACCUGGUCUUGACAUCCAUAGAAUUUUAUAGAAAUAUAGAAGUGCCUUCGGGAACUAUGAGACAGGUGCUGCAUGGCUGUCGUCAGCUCGUGUUGUGAAAUGUUGGGUUAAGUCCCGCAACGAGCGCAACCCUUAUCUUUUGUUACCAGCGGUUCGGCCGGGGACUCAAGGGAGACUGCCGGUUAUAAACCGGAGGAAGGUGGGGACGACGUCAAGUCAUCAUU
rnacentral:rRNA from 2 species